AUUGAACGCUGGCGGCAGGCCUAACACAUGCAAGUCGAGCGGAUGAAGGGAGCUUGCUCCUGGAUUCAGCGGCGGACGGGUGAGUAAUGCCUAGGAAUCUGCCUGGUAGUGGGGGAUAACGUCCGGAAACGGGCGCUAAUACCGCAUACGUCCUGAGGGAGAAAGUGGGGGAUCUUCGGACCUCACGCUAUCAGAUGAGCCUAGGUCGGAUUAGCUAGUUGGUGGGGUAAAGGCCUACCAAGGCGACGAUCCGUAACUGGUCUGAGAGGAUGAUCAGUCACACUGGAACUGAGACACGGUCCAGACCCCUACGGGAGGCAGCAGUGGGGAAUAUUGGACAAUGGGCGAAAGCCUGAUCCAGCCAUGCCGCGUGUGUGAAGAAGGUCUUCGGAUUGUAAAGCACUUUAAGUUGGGAGGAAGGGCAGUAAGUUAAUACCUUGCUGUUUUGACGUUACCAACAGAAUAAGCACCGGCUACUUCGUG
rnacentral:rRNA from 1 species